UGCGAAGGGGGCUAGCGUUGUUCGGAUUUACUGGGCGUAAAGCGCACGUAGGCGGACUAAUAAGUCAGGGGUGAAAUCCCGGGGCUCAACCCCGGAACUGCCUUUGAUACUGUUAGUCUUGAGUAUGGAAGAGGUGAGUGGAAUUCCGAGUGUAGAGGUGAAAUUCGUAGAUAUUCGGAGGAACACCAGUGGCGAAGGCGGCUCACUGGUCCAUUACUGACGCUGAGGUGCGAAAGCGUGGGCAGCAAACAGG
rnacentral:rRNA from 1 species